rnacentral:rRNA from 1 species
AGUGAACGCUGGCGGUAGGCCUAACACAUGCAAGUCGAACGGCAGCACAGUAAGAGCUUGCUCUUACGGGUGGCGAGUGGCGGACGGGUGAGGAAUACAUCGGAAUCUACUUUUUCGUGGGGGAUAACGUAGGGAAACUUACGCUAAUACCGCAUACGACCUACGGGUGAAAGCAGGGGAUCUUCGGACCUUGCGCGAUUGAAUGAGCCGAUGUCGGAUUAGCUAGUUGGCGGGGUAAAGGCCCACCAAGGCGACGUUCCGUAGCUGGUCUGAGAGGAUGACAGCCCAAAAGGGAACGGGACCACGCACAAGACCCCACGGGGGGGAAGAAGGGGGGAAUAUGGGACAAGGGGGACAAGCCUACCCCACCCAUCCCGGGUGGGGGAAGAAGGCCUUGGGGUUGUAAACCCUUUUUGUGGGAAAAGAAAAGCAGCGGUUAAAUCCCCCGGUGUUCUGAGGUUACCAAAAAAAAAAGCCCCGGCUAACUUCGUG